AUUGAACGCUGGCGGCAGGCCUAACACAUGCAAGUCGAACGGUAACAGGAAGAAGCUUGCUUCUUUGCUGACGAGUGGCGGACGGGUGAGUAAUGUCUGGGAAACUGCCUGAUGGAGGGGGAUAACUACUGGAAACGGUAGCUAAUACCGCAUAACGUCGCAAGACCAAAGAGGGGGACCUUCGGGCCUCUUGCCAUCGGAUGUGCCCAGAUGGGAUUAGCUAGUAGGUGGGGUAACGGCUCACCUAGGCGACGAUCCCCAGCUGGUCUGAGAGGAUGACCAGCCACACUGGAACUGAGACACGGUCCAGACUCCUACGGGAGGCAGCAGUGGGGAAUAUUGCACAAUGGGCGAAAGCCUGAUGCAGCCAUGCCGCGUGUAUGAAGAAGGCCUUCGGGUUGUAAAGUACUUUCAGCGGGGAGGAAGGGAGUAAAGUUAAUACCUUUGCUCAUUGACGUUACCAGCAGAAGAAGCACCGGCUAACUCCGUG
rnacentral:rRNA from 1 species